CCUACGGGAGGCAGCAGUGGGGAAUAUUGCACAAUGGGCGAAAGCCUGAUGCAGCGACGCCGCGUGAGGGAUGACGGCCUUCGGGUUGUAAACCUCUUUCAGUAGGGAAGAAGCGAAAGUGACGGUACCUGCAGAAGAAGCGCCGGCUAACUACGGGCCAGCAGCCGCGGUAAU
rnacentral:rRNA from 1 species